GUGCCAGCAGCCGCGGUAAUACGUAGGGUGCGAGCGUUAAUCGGAAUUACUGGGCGUAAAGUGUGCGCAGGUGGCCUCGCAAGUCGAGUGUGAAAUCCCCGGGCUUAACUUGGGAAUUGCGCUCGAAACUACGGGGCUCGAGUGUGGCAGAGGGAGGUGGAAUUCCACGUGUAGCGGUGAAAUGCGUAGAGAUGUGGAGGAACACCAAUGGCGAAGGCAGCCUCCUGGGCCAACACUGACGCUCAUGCACGAAAGCGUGGGGAGCAAACAGGAUUAGAAACCCGAGUAGUCC
rnacentral:rRNA from 1 species